rnacentral:rRNA from 1 species
CCUACGGGAGGCAGCAGUAAGGAAUAUUGGACAAUGCUCGCAAGAGUGAUCCAGCCAUGCCGCGUGCAGGAAGAAUGCCCUAUGGGUAGUAAACUGCUUUUGAACUAGAGAAAACCCCAGUACGUGUACUGGGCUGAUAGUAUAGUUAGAAUAAGCAUCGGCUAACUUCGUGCCAGCAGCCGCGGUAAGACGAAGGAUGCAAGCGUUAUCCGGAUUCAUUGGGUUUAAAGGGAGCGUAGGUGGACUGAUAAGUCAGUGGUGAAAUCUCCGAGCUUAACUCGGAAAUUGCCAUUGAUACUGUUGGUCUUGAGUACAGUUGCUGUGGGCGGAAUAUGACAUGUAGUGGUGAAAUACAUAGAGAUGUCAUAGAACACCGAUUGCGAAGGCAGCUCACAAAGCUGUAACUGACACUGAGGCUCGAAAGUGCGGGGAUCAAACAGGAUUAGAUACCCUGGUAGUCCGCACCGUAACGAUGAUUACUCGCUGCUAGGGGGCACCUUAUGGCUUAGCGAAAGCGAGAGUAAGUACACGUCGGAGACGCGCGACGACGAAGUAAGUAGAGUAGAGCGNGAGAGNGCGACGACGACGACGAGGGAGGAGG